rnacentral:rRNA from 1 species
CCUACGGGUGGCAGCAGUGAGGAAUAUUGGUCAAUGGGCGUAAGCCUGAACCAGCCAAGUCGCGUGAGGGAUGAAGGUUCUAUGGAUCGUAAACCUCUUUUAUAAGGGAAUAAAGUGUGGUACGCGUCCUAUUUUGUAUGUACCUUAUGAAUAAGGAUCGGCUAACUCCGUGCCAGCAGCCGCGGUAAUACGGAGGAUCCGAGCGUUAUCCGGAUUUAUUGGGUUUAAAGGGUGCGUAGGCGGCCUUUUAAGUCAGCGGUGAAAGUCUGUGGCUCAACCAUCGAAUUGCCGGUGAAACUGGGGGGCUUGAGUAUGUUUGAGGCAGGCGGAAUGCGUGGUGUAGCGGUGAAAUGCUUAGAGAUCACACAGAACCCCGAUUGCGAAGGCAGCCUGCCAAGCCAUGACUGACGCUGAUGCACGAAAGCGUGGGGAUCAAACAGGAUUAGAUACCCGAGUAGUC